UGAUUCUAAACGCAUAAAUAUUCUCUGUGUCAUGUAAAAGAUGCAUACAAUUUUUCUUAUGAAAGAAAUAUCAUAAAAAUAAUUAUUUCUUGCGUUUGUUUUAACAUUUUACCAAUUGUUUAUAAGUUUAUUGGACAAUGUUUCUACUACGGUGGGGAACGUGCCUCAUUUUCGAUAGCAGUCAACGAACGUGUGAGAUUUUCAUAGCGAUGCGAACGAAAGAUGCGUAGACGCAUUUUGGUAGAAACUGGUGGGGGAACGUGGCGGCGCGCGAUAUGAUAGCGUUUUGAGACGGUUCAGUUCCGCGCCGUCUUUCACGUGCGCGACACAUUUCGGGAAACGAGAAAUCGUGUUCGCAUAAAAGUAUCAGUGUAUGAAUUUUUUGUUGUUUUCUCUAUCGUCUUUAUUUUAAUCUCGCAAUAUUCUUUUGGAUACUUUUUUUUUCUCUUCGAACAACUUGAUUUUAUACCGUUGCUGUUCGUGUUUCGUGCGAUUUUUUCUGAUUUAUCAGAAAGAAAAAUGUGUGACAGUGUAUUAAGCGUCCUUUGGAUACGAUCACGGAUAAACCAACGCACUGGAUGAACCUGUUUAAAAGCGCUGGAGUCUCGGAGGCCCGUGGCGCGACGAAUUACAUACAGCGGAAGGAUCUUUUUUAACAGCCUGGUGGUACGAUUAUCCUCCGAUGUUGGCCACGGCGAAAUAG